AGAGUUUGAUCCUGGCUCAGAACGAACGCUGGCGGCAUGGAUUAGGCAUGCAAGUUGAACGAACUCCUUCGGGAGUGAGUAGCGAAAGGGUGAGGAACGCGUGAGUAAUCUGCCCAUAAGUUGGGAACAACAGUUGGAAACGACUGCUAAUACCGAAUGUGGCUAUUGACCCGCAUGGGUUUUUGGCUAAAGAUUUAUCGCUUAUGGAUGAGCUCGCGUCCCAUUAGCUAGUUGGUGAGGUAACGGCCCACCAAGGCUACGAUGGGUAGCUGGUCUGAGAGGAUGGUCAGCCACACUGGGACUGAGACACUGCCCAGACUCCUACGGGAGGCUGCAGUCGAGAAUCUUGGGCAAUGCGCGAAAGCGUGACCCAGCAAUGCCGCGUGCAUGAUGAAGGCCCUCGGGUCGUAAAAUGCUGUCUCCCGUGACGAAUAAUGACGGUAGCGGGGAAGGAAGCCACGGCUAACUACGUGCCAGCAGCCGCGGUAAUACGUAGGUGGCGAGCGUUGUUCGGAUUUAUUGGGCGUAAAGGGUCUGUAGGAGGUUUGUUAAAUACGAGGUGAAAUCCGGGGGCUCAACUUCCGAAUUGCCUUGUAGACUGAUGAACUAGAGUACUGGAGAGGUAAGCGGAAUACCAGGUGUAGCGGUGGAAUGCGUAGAUAUCUGGUAGAACACCAAUAGCGAAGGCAGCUUGCUGGACAGAAACUGACUCUGAAAGACGAAAGCAUGGGGAGCAAACAGGAUUAGAUACCCUGGUAGUCCAUGCCGUAAACGUUGUCAACUUGAUGUGGGCGGAUUUAGUCCUGUCCGUAUCGAAGCUAACGCGAUAAGUUGACCGCCUGGGAACUACGGCCGCAAGGCUAAAACUCAAAGGAAUUGACGGGGGCCCGCACAAGCGGUGGAGCAUGUGGCUUAAUUCGAAGCAACGCGAAGAACCUUACCCGGAUUUGACAUAUAUA
rnacentral:rRNA from 1 species